GCUUAACACAUGCAAGUCGAACGGAAAGGCCCUGCUUUUGUGGGGUGCUCGAGUGGCGAACGGGUGAGUAACACGUGAGUAACCUGCCCUUGACUUUGGGAUAACUUCAGGAAACUGGGGCUAAUACCGGAUAGGAGCUCCUGCUGCAUGGUGGGGGUUGGAAAGUUUCGGCGGUUGGGGAUGGACUCGCGGCUUAUCAGCUUGUUGGUGGGGUAGUGGCUUACCAAGGCUUUGACGGGUAGCCGGCCUGAGAGGGUGACCGGCCACAUUGGGACUGAGAUACGGCCCAGACUCCUACGGGAGGCAGCAGUGGGGAAUAUUGCACAAUGGGCGGAAGCCUGAUGCAGCAACGCCGCGUGCGGGAUGACGGCCUUCGGGUUGUAAACCGCUUUCGCCUGUGACGAAGCGUGAGUGACGGUAAUGGGUAAAGAAGCACCGGCUAACUACGUGCCAGCAGCCGCGGUGAUACGUAGGGUGCGAGCGUUGUCCGGAUUUAUUGGGCGUAAAGGGCUCGUAGGUGGUUGAUCGCGUCGGAAGUGUAAUCUUGGGGCUUAACCCUGAGCGUGCUUUCGAUACGGGUUGACUUGAGGAAGGUAGGGGAGAAUGGAAUUCCUGGUGGAGCGGUGGAAUGCGCAGAUAUCAGGAGGAACACCAGUGGCGAAGGCGGUUCUCUGGGCCUUUCCUGACGCUGAGGAGCGAAAGCGUGGGGAGCGAACAGGCUUAGAUACCCUGGUAGUCCACGCUGUAAAC
rnacentral:rRNA from 1 species